rfam:Triticum aestivum genome assembly, contig: Triticum_aestivum_CS42_TGACv1_scaffold_093150_2AL
UACAUACUCCCUCCGUUCGGAAUUACUCGUCCAAGAAAUGAAUGUAUCUAGAUGUAUUUUAGUUGUAGAUACAUCCAUUUUUGUCACAAGUAAUUCUGAACGGAGGGACUACUGC